rnacentral:rRNA from 1 species
UACGUAGGGUGCAAGCGUUGUCCGGAAUUAUUGGGCGUAAAGAGCUCGUAGGCGGUCUGUCACGUCGGCUGUGAAAACCCGAGGCUCAACCUCGGGCCUGCAGUCGAUACGGGCAGACUAGAGUGCUGUAGGGGAGACUGGAAUUCCUGGUGUAGCGGUGAAAUGCGCAGAUAUCAGGAGGAACACCGGUGGCGAAGGCGGGUCUCUGGGCAGUAGCUGACGCUGAGGAGCGAAAGCGUGGGGAGCAAACAGG